GGUUGCUUGUAGUAUUAGCACUGAGC
rnacentral:piRNA from 1 species